rnacentral:rRNA from 1 species
GACGAACGCUGGCGGCGUGCUUAACACUUGCAAGUCGAACGGAAAGGCCCUGCUUGCAGGGUACUCGAGUGGCGAACGGGUGAGUAACACGUGGGUGAUCUGCCCCGCACUUCGGGAUAAGCCUGGGAAACUGGGUCUAAUACCGGAUAGGAGCCAUUUUUAGUGUGAUGGUUGGAAAGUUUUUUCGGUGUAGGAUGAGCUCGCGGCCUAUCAGCUUGUUGGUGGGGUAAUGGCCUACCAAGGCGGCGACGGGUAGCCGGCCUGAGAGGGUGGACGGCCACAUUGGGACUGAGAUACGGCCCAGACUCCUACGGGAGGCAGCGGUGGGGAAUAUUGCACAAUGGGCGCAAGCCUGAUGCAGCGACGCCGCGUGGGGGAUGACGGCCUUCGGGUUGUAAACUCCUUUCGCUAGGGACGAAGCUUUUUGUGACGGUACCUAGAUAAGAAGCACCGGCUAACUACGUG